rnacentral:rRNA from 1 species
CCUUUGUACACACCGCCCGUCGCUACUACCGAUUGAAUGGCUCAGUGAGGCUUUCGGACUGGCCCAGGGAGAGUGGCAACACUCACCCAGGGCCGGAAAGUUGUUCAAACUUGGUCAUUUAGAGG